rnacentral:rRNA from 1 species
AGAGUUUGAUCCUGGCUCAGGACGAACGCUGGCGGCGUGCCUAAUACAUGCAAGUCGAGCGGAGAUGAUGAGGAGCUUGCUCCUUUGAUUCUCAGCGGCGGACGGGUGAGUAACACGUAGGUAACCUGCCCCUCAGCCUGGGAUAACUGACGGAAACGUCAGCUAAGACCGGAUACGAGGUUCUCCCGCAUGGAGGAACCUGGAAAGAAGGCGCAAGCUUUCGCUGAGAGAUGGGCCUGCGGCGCAUUAGCUGGUUGGUGAGGUAACGGCUCACCAAGGCGACGAUGCGUAGCCGACCUGAGAGGGUGAACGGGCCACACUGGGACUGAGACACGGCCCAGACUCCUACGGGAGGCAGCAGUAGGGAAUCUUCCGCAAUGGGCGCAAGCCUGACGGAGCAACGCCGCGUGAGUGAGGAAGGUUUUCGGAUCGUAAAGCUCUGUUGCCAGGGAAGAACGCCGAGGUGAGUAACUGCACCUCGGGUGACGGUACCUGAGAAGAAAGCCCCGGCUAACUACGUGCCAGCAGCCGCGGUAAUACGUAGGGGGCAAGCGUUGUCCGGAAUUAUUGGGCGUAAAGCGCGCGCAGGCGGUUCGGUCAGUCUGGUGUUUAAUCCCGGGGCUCAACCCCGGGUCGCACCGGAAACUGCCGGACUGGAGUGCAGAAGAGGAAAGUGGAAUUCCACGUGUAGCGGUGAAAUGCGUAGAGAUGUGGAGGAACACCAGUGGCGAAGGCGACUUUCUGGGCUGUAACUGNNGCUGAGNNNCGAAAGCGUGGGGAGCAAACAGGAUUAGAUACCCUAGUAGUCC